GGGGUUGUGGCUCAGUGGUAGAGCACUUGCCUAGCAUAUGCAAGGCACUGGGUUCAAUCCUCAGCACCA
rnacentral:tRNA from 1 species